CAACGACAAGCCGCGCCGCACAAGGGCGGCUCAUCCAUUGCUCUUCCCCGCUCACGCAUAGGCACACGUAGGCCGAAGACUAGAUGCGAUACAGCUCGGCGCAACCAACGGAAAAAGAGUAAGAGCCUUCCGCAACAUGCGUUCCACGCCGCACGGCCCACUUCUCCAUCCUCGGACCUCCUCGGUCCGCCAGGACGCGAUCACGUACCCCUACGCCUACGCUGCACCUGGUGGACAGACGCCGUCUGCUGGCUGUGAGCAUGACGACAACACCGCCGCCGAGGCGGGCCCCGCACGCCGCUGCGUGCCCGUGCGCGGAAACCGUGCGACGCCUGCAAGCAAUACUAACCCCUAUCCUAGUGAUGUGAGCUGCAGUCUUUCCUACCCGGAGCCCGCGCCAGCCGUGGCGACGACACAGCCGUCGUCGACCUUCCAACAGGACCAAAAGCCGGUUGUGUACACGGUACAGAACACAACCACCGACACCCACACCCACGAGACCGAGUACGGCGGGGUUCUGACGAUCCGCACGACAACCGUGACGCGCACCAUCACAGAGCGCCUCGUGGCAAGCGAUGAAGACGACGACAGCAGUGAGAACGGCGAGGUGCACCUGGAAGACGCGCGAAGCGAGGCGUCGUUGCCGUCUCUGCCUCAUUGAGCGAAGGACAUGGGCUGUAGCGCAGCAGCAGUCAUCCUGUCUGCGGUUCACCACCGCCCACUCUUUUCUUCGCUGCUGGUCGCCGUUUGUGUUGUCGCUUGCCUCGCUGUGUAUGUGGGUCGGUCUCCUUGGCGGUGGCGUGGUGGAGGGAAAGGAAGGGAGGGGAGAGCAAGUGUGCACGUGGCUGCCGUCCCUGUUUCCGCUCCCGCCCCCCCCCGCCCCCACACACACGCGCACACAUCUUCAAUCCACUUGAGCAUUCCGAGUGCCAUGUACUCCAGCCGCCUUUUCGUAUUCCCCACCCAGCCCCUUCCGCAUCACACACGCACGCACACAACUCACAGCUCUCCCUCAUGGGCCACUCUCCGCCCCUCCGCCUCCCCCCUUCCCUGUCUCCUUCCCUCACCGCUUGGCGUCUCGCGUGUAUGCCCGAUCAACGGAGACGCACACGUACACGCGUGUGUGUGUGUGUGAUGCGGGUGGCGACACACAGCAAAGAAAGGCACGCGCAGGGAUGAAGUGGCGCACGGGUUUUGCCGAGCCUGCUGCCUCCUUCAAUGCCUCCCCGUGUGGCUAUCCGAGUCGUCAGCGCACGCAAGCCAGCCCACGCACAUACACAGAGUUGGGGGGGGGGGGGGGGGCAGACGCGCCAGGGCGCGUGGAUGCGCGCUCACAGGUAUCCUCUCCCUGUUCACCGGCGUGCCUUCAUUCUUCUACAGUACCUUCUCUGUUCGUUCUCCUCAUUCUCCCUCUCUUCAACGGCAACGCAUACGCACCCGACCCGCGUCGCCGCUUGACCGCCCUCACCCCCCCCCUCUCUCUGCCUCUCUCCCAUGCCCGCACACACGUGGCAUGGACCGACACUAACACCAACGCCGACCCCGCACAUGGUAUUCGCGUCGUCAUCAUCGACCGCAG
rnacentral:misc_RNA from 1 species